rnacentral:rRNA from 1 species
GACGAACGCUGGCGGCGUGCUUAACACAUGCAAGUCGAACGCUGAAGACCUGGCUUUUGUUGGGUUGGAUGAGUGGCGAACGGGUGAGUAACACGUGAGUAACCUGCCCUCUUCUUUGGGAUAACGCCCGGAAAUGGGUGCUAAUACUGGAUAUUCACUGAUCUUCGCAUGGGGGUUGGUGGAAAGGUUUGUUCUGGUGGGGGAUGGGCUCGCGGCCUAUCAGCUUGUUGGUGGGGUGAUGGCCUACCAAGGCUUUGACGGGUAGCCGGCCUGAGAGGGUGACCGGUCACAUUGGGACUGAGAUACGGCCCAGACUCCUACGGGAGGCAGCAGUGGGGAAUAUUGCACAAUGGGCGAAAGCCUGAUGCAGCGACGCCGCGUGAGGGAUGGAGGCCUUCGGGUUGUAAACCUCUUUCGCUCAUGGUCAAGCCGCAACUGUGGGUUGUGGUGAGGGUAGUGGGUAAAGAAGCGCCGGCUAACUACGUG